GAUGAACGCUGGCGGCGUGCCUAAUACAUGCAAGUCGAGCGAACAGACGAGGAGCUUGCUCCUCUUACGUUAGCGGCGGACGGGUGAGUAACACGUGGAUAACCUACCUAUAAGACUGGGAUAACUUCGGGAAACCGGAGCUAAUACCGGAUAAUAUAUUGAACCGCAUGGUUCAAUAGUGAAAGACGGUUUUGCUGUCACUUAUAGAUGGAUCCGCGCCGCAUUAGCUAGUUGGUAAGGUAACGGCUUACCAAGGCCACGAUGCGUAGCCGACCUGAGAGGGUGAUCGGCCACACUGGAACUGAGACACGGUCCAGACUCCUACGGGAGGCAGCAGUAGGGAAUCUUCCGCAAUGGGCGAAAGCCUGACGGAGCAACGCCGCGUGAGUGAUGAAGGUCUUCGGAUCGUAAAACUCUGUUAUUAGGGAAGAACAAAUGUGUAAGUAACUAUGCACGUCUUGACGGUACCUAAUCAGAAAGCCACGGCUAACUACGUG
rnacentral:rRNA from 1 species